rnacentral:lncRNA from 1 species
AGAUGUGACUCGAAAUCUACUAUCGAUUCAGGUUCGGAUUUACGACUCGCCGACAGCUUCGCGGUGCGACCAAAUUUGAAAAAAAAAAAUUAUGGAGAAAAAAUGAAUGUCUGUGGUGGGUUGUAACCUGAAAAACAUUGUAUUCCCUUUUCGUUCCAUAGUGAAGUUCUCUCUUCCCCCGCCCGUGAUUUUUUUCCUGUAAAAAAUUUUCCACGUAAAUCUGUGUCUCUUUAUUUUCUGCUUGUGGUUUGAUUAUUUUUUGUAUUCGUCAUUUCGUUUCCGUUUGUGCGUUUGUCGUAACAUAAAUAUUGUUGAAUUUAUCAAAUUUAAUUAAAUUUUAGUAAAUAAAACUAACCAAAUUAACAGCCCAUAACUAUAAAAACACAAAUACAAAUCAGAAAUGAUC